ACUCAGAGGGGACGACGACCUUCUGGGAACGUGCGAGGAGAAACUGUUGAAAAGUAGGUUGGUCCACGCUAAAGAUCAAAUAGGCUUUACACCUCCUUCACUGAAGAGGAAACAAGCUAUGGUGAAAUAAUACUGGUGCCCUACGAACACCACAGGUGGGUGUGUCUGCAGAGCUCAGCUGUAUCACAUCAGCGGUCAGGGGAUUUAAGGGGCGGCAGGACAGCUCACCAGUGCCUUGGGU